UUUCAACUUCAAGGGCGUUUUAAAAUCAGAAGUAUGGCAAUCUAGUAAAUAUUUUAAGGUUUAGUGGUUUUUUAGAUAAUGUCUUUUUUUCCUUCUCCUUGCUACCUUGGUGGAGAUGAUUGGUAGUGGACGAGGUCAUAAUUUAAAUUCAAGGAGGAAGAGGAGAAUGGUAGCAUCAGGGUUAUGGAUGAGAUCGGAAUAGGAGGGGGAAGAAAGCGGGUUGAAGUCAGUGGGG
rnacentral:lncRNA from 1 species